rnacentral:rRNA from 1 species
CCUACGGGAGGCAGCAGUGAGGAAUAUUGGACAAUGGGCGCAAGCCUGAUCCAGCCAUGCCGCGUGCAGGAUGACGGUCCUAUGGAUUGUAAACUGCUUUUGCACAGGAAGAAACAACAUUACGUGUAAUGUCUUGACGGUACUGUGAGAAUAAGGAUCGGCUAACUCCGUGCCAGCAGCCGCGGUAAUACGGAGGAUCCAAGCGUUAUCCGGAAUCAUUGGGUUUAAAGGGUCCGUAGGCGGUUUGGUAAGUCAGUGGUGAAAGCCCAUCGCUCAACGGUGGAACGGCCAUUGAUACUGCCAGACUUGAAUUAUUAGGAAGUAACUAGAAUAUGUAGUGUAGCGGUGAAAUGCUUAGAGAUUACAUGGAAUACCAAUUGCGAAGGCAGGUUACUACUAAUGGAUUGACGCUGAUGGACGAAAGCGUGGGUAGCGAACAGGAUUAGAUACCCUGGUAGUCCCACGACCGUAACGAUGAUACUAGNUGUUGGUAGNAUACUCAGUGGCGUAGACGAAAGUAG